rnacentral:rRNA from 1 species
CAGCAGCCACGGGAAAACCAGCACCUCGAGUGGUCAGGAGGUUUAUUGGGCCUAAAGCAUCCGUAGCCGGUUGCAUAAGUUUUCGGUUAAAUCUAUGCGCUUAACGUAUAGGCCGCCGAAAAUACUGUGCAGCUAGGGAGUGGGAGAGGUACACGGUACUCGAUAGGAAGGGGUAAAAUCCUUUGAUCUAUUGAUGACCACCUGUGGCGAAGGCGGUGUACCAGAACACGUUCGACGGUAAGGGAUGAAAGCUGGGGGAGCAAACCGGAUUAGAUACCCGCGUAGUCCCUGUCUCUUAUAC